AUUGAACGCUGGCGGUAGGCCUAACACAUGCAAGUCGAACGAGUGGCGGACGGGUGAGUAAUACCUCGGAAACUACCCUGUAGAGGGGGAUAACGUAUGGAAACUUACGCUAAUACCGCAUACGAUCGGAUGUGCCCAGGUCGGAUUAGCUAGUAGGCGGGGUAAAGGCUCACCUAGGCGACGAUCCGUAACUGGUCUGAGAGGAUGAUCAGUCACACUGGAACUGAGACACGGUCCAGACUCCUACGGGAGGCAGCAGUGGGGAAUAUUGGACAAUGGGCGCAAGCCUGAUCCAGCCAUACCGCGUGGGUGAAGAAGGCCUUCGGGUUGUAAAGCCCUUUUGUUGGGAAAGCGGUACCCAAAGAAUAAGCACCGGCUAACUUCGUGCCAGCCGCCGCGGUAAUAC
rnacentral:rRNA from 1 species